UGCCCCAGUAACGGCGAGUGAAGCGGCAACAGCUCAAAUUUGAAAUCUGGUCCCCAGGGCCCGAGUUGUAAUUUGUAGAGGAUGCUUUUGGCGCGGCGCCUUCCGAGUUCCCUGGAACGGGACGCCAUAGAGGGUGAGAGCCCCGUCUGGUCGGAUGCCAAGCCUCUGUAAAGCUCCUUCGACGAGUCGAGUAGUUUGGGAAUGCUGCUCAAAAUGGGAGGUAUAUGUCUUCUAAAGCUAAAUAUUGGCCAGAGACCGAUAGCGCACAAGUAGAGUGAUCGAAAGAUGAAAAGCACUUUGAAAAGAGGGUUAAACAGUACGUGAAAUUGUUGAAAGGGAAGCGCCUAUGACCAGACUUGGGCCCGGUGAAUCAUCCAGCGUUCUCGCUGGUGCACUUUGCCGGGCACAGGCCAGCAUCAGUUUGGCGCGGGGGAGAAAGGCUUUGGGAACGUGGCUCCCCCGGGAGUGUUAUAGCCCAUUGCGCAAUACCCUGCGCCGGACUGAGGUACGCGCAUUGCAAGGAUGCUGGCGUAAUGGUCAUCAGCGACCCGUCUUGAAACACGGACCAAGGAGUCGUCUUCGUAUGCGAGUGUUCGGGUGUCAAACCCCUACGCGUAAUGAAAGUGAACGCAGGUGAGAGCUUCGGCGCAUCAUCGACCGAUCCUGAUGUUCUCGGAUGGAUUUGAGUAAGAGCAUACGGGGCCGGACCCGAAAGAAGGUGAACUAUGCCUGUAUAGGGUGAAGCCAGAGGAAACUCUGGUGGAGGCUCGCAGCGGUUCUGACGUGCGAAUCGAUCGUCAAAUAUGGGCAUGGGG
rnacentral:rRNA from 1 species